UUUUUUUUUUUUUUUUUGAGGAAGAUUAGCCCUGAGCUGACAUCUGCUGCCAAUCCUCCUCUUUUUGCUGAGGAAGACUGGCCCUGAGCUAACAUCCGUGCCCAUCUUCCUCUACUUUAUACGUGGAACGCCUACCACAGCGUGACUUGCCAAGCGGUACCAUGUCCACACCCGGGAUCCCAACAGGCAAACCCCAGGUCGCCCAAGUGGAACGUGGGCACUUACACGCUGCGCCACCAGACCAGCCCCUAAACUCCCUUUCAAUAACACUCAGUCUUAUCCAGGAGACACUGGCGCACGGCAAUAAUAAUGGGUAUGUUUGAAGACUUGCCCAAGCUCACACCCUUGUUGGCCAGAAUCCAUUUUUGUGGCUUGAUACUGAUGAAGAGGUCCUGCUGAGAAAUCUCCAACGUCUCUCUGAGGCCUGUAACACAAAGGGCAGGCAGCAUCCACGAGUCCCGACAAGCUCUGGAAAAUGAUCUGAAAAACAAAAGUCUUUGCAUUCCAGGGCUAAAUUCUUCUUGGUCAUGGUGAAUGAUUCUAUUAAUGUAUUAUUGAAUUGUUUGCUAUUAUUUUAUUUAUAGUUUUUCAUCUAGUGCCUUGAUCUUCUGUUCUCUCUUUUUUUCCCCACUAUAUUCUUCAAGAUUGGAUUUCAGGGUUCUUCUAUCCUCAUAAAAUGAAUUAGAGAAUUUUCCAUGCUUUUCUAGAAUCUGGAACUGUUAGCCAAGUAUAGGAAUAAUCUGUUACUGGAAAAUUUGGGGAAAAAAACACAUUAGAAAAAUCUCUCUUCCGGGAGGCUAUUUUAGAGCUACCAUUUAAUGACACUUUAACUUUUUAAUUUUCAUGUGAUUAUUUUUCUCUUCAGACUUAUUACUUUUUCAUGAGUCAGUUUUUGUAAUUCAUACUUCACAAAAGCAUCUGCAUCACUUUUUCAUUUCUUUACAGAGUCGUACAUAGGAAUAUCUUAGCUUUUUAACCUACGUGCCUUUUAGAGUUCCUCAUAAUCUAUAAUUUUAUUUGUUUUGUUUUUCCCCUCUUCAGUCAAUUUGCCAGAGGUUUAUUUAUAUUAUCGGUUUUCUUCCAAGCCACCUCUCAGUUGCAUUUAUUACAUCUCGAGCUUUUCUGUUUUCGAAUCUAUGGAUUUCUCCUUUGUUCUUUAAAAGAUUUAUUUUUCUUGACUGCCUUAAAAUUUUUUGCUAAUUUUCAUACUUCUUGAUUUUAAAGCUAACUUCAUUCAUUUUUAUUUUCAACAAUAAAAAGCAAUCUAAGG
rnacentral:lncRNA from 1 species